CGGGGCGUAGUAUAGUGGUAGUACACGCCCAUGGGGUGGGUGUAGUCCGAGUUCGAUUCCCGGCGCCCCGA
rnacentral:tRNA from 5 species